CCGGCGCACGGGUGAGUAACACGUAUCCAACCUGCCGUCUACUCUUGGACAGCCUUCUGAAAGGAAGAUUAAUACAAGAUGGCAUUAUGAGUCCGCAUGUUCACAUGAUUAAAGGUGUUCCGGUAGACGAUGGGGAUGCGUUCCAUUAGAUAGUAGGCGGGGUAACGGCCCACCUAGUCUUCGAUGGAUAGGGGUUCUGAGAGGAAGGUCCCCCACAUUGGAACUGAGACACGGUCCAA
rnacentral:rRNA from 1 species